rnacentral:lncRNA from 1 species
UCUUGUUUAUUUUUUUAAUUUUUUUAAUUUAGCUACAACUAUAUUUAAUUUGUCAAAACUAUGAGUAAUAUUUCAAAAAGGUCACAGGACACAAAUAAUGAAGCGCAUCAAAAGGACUGUAGAAGGAAAUCUGUUAAUCAUAGAAAGGAUAGUUUGACUAAUCAAAAAAGUAAUCGACCAGUAACCGCUCCGCCUACUAAUCGCCUACAAACAGGAGUUUUAAAAAGGCAGUCAUGCUGU